GCCUGCAGGGCGGGUCUGGGGAGGCAGCUGGCUCCGAGGCAAGGAUCUCUGCAGGCUGACCUCUCCCCUGAACUCCAAACUCACAUACCAGCUGCCUGCAUGGAUGCCUAAUGGAUAUCCCCAAACCGAAUGUGUCCCAGAUGGAACUCAAGCUCAUUCCUCCUGCCACUUUCCUGACCUCAGCAGAGGGCAAUCACAUUUUGGCAGUUCUUCCAAA